rnacentral:rRNA from 1 species
GAUGAACGCUAGCGGCAGGCUUAACACAUGCAAGUCGAGGGGCAGCGUGAGGGUUAGCAAUAACCCUUGACGGCGACCGGCGCAAGGGUGCGUAACGCGUGAGCAACUUGCCCUAUCAGGGGGAUAACCGGUGGAAACGCCGACUAAUUCCCCAUAGUAUUGAUUCCAGGCAUCUGUUAUCAAUUAAGAAUUUCGGAAACGGNUAGGCUCGCGUGACAUUAGCUAGAUGGCGGGGUAACGGCCCACCAUGGCGACGAUCAGUAGCCGGUCUGAGAGGAUGAACGGCCACAUUGGGACUGAGAUACGGCCCAGACGUCCUACGGGAGGCAGCAGUGGGGAAUAUUGGGCAAUGGACGCAAGUCUGACCCAGCAACGCCGCGUGAAGGAAGAAGGCUUUCGGGUUGUAAACUUCUUUUUACCAGGACGAGAACGUGACGGUACCUGGAGAAAAAGCAAACGGCUAACU